UAUGUCUGCCUCUCAGAAUUGUAUAAGAAGCUCUUGCUUUGGAAUGUGGCAUGAGCAAAACUGGCAAGUCAAACCCAGCAAGAUGGUGUCCCCAUUGCAGCUCCUAGGAAUUCUGCUCUUCUGGGCUCCAGCCUCCAGGGGUGAGAUUGUGCUGACCCAGUCUCCAGCCUUCCUGUCUGGGACUCCAGGGGAGAAAGCCACCCUCACCUGCAGGGCCAGUCAGGGCAUUAGCAACUACUUACACUGGUACCAGCAGAAACCAGGUCAGGCUCCAAAGCUCCUCGUAAAGUAUGCCUCCCAGUCCGUGUCCUCGAGGUUCAGUGGCAGUGGAUCUGGGACAGAUUUCACCCUCAUCAUCAGUAGCCUGAAAGCUGAAGAUGCUGCAACUUAUUACUGUCAACAGGGCUAUAAUUAUCCUCCCACUGUGCUGCAAUCCAGAACAAAAACUAGCUUAGCCUGGCUGUACAGAGAAAGUGAAUAAUACCGCAUACUUCUUCUUCUCUUUGCAGGUGCAUUUGGGGCAAGGCUCAGACUAACCCCAUGACAUGUGGCCCACCCACAGCAGAGCUGAAACCCAAGAGUAGCUGCCUCAUGUCUAAGUUUUAUCUCUUCCACAGUCAUUUUUCAAACUAUGUGUAUAGUUGUUAAAGAUGACCUCUUCUUUUCUGUCUACACACUUACAUAAACUGCCCUUUACAAGUUUUACCAUUUUAUAAGUAAACAUUUUGGAUUUA